rnacentral:rRNA from 1 species
AGAGUUUGAUCCUGGCUCAGGACGAACGCUGGCGGCGUGCUUAACACAUGCAAGUCGAACGAUGAACCGGGGCUUGCCCUGGGGAUUAGUGGCGAACGGGUGAGUAACACGUGGGCAACCUGCCCCAGACACCGGGAUAACCUCUCGAAAGAGUGGCUAAUACCGGAUACGACCUCCUUGGGCAUCUGAGGAGGUGGAAAGGAUUCUGGUCUGGGAUGGGCCCGCGGCCUAUCAGCUUGUUGGUGGGGUAAUGGCCUACCAAGGCGACGACGGGUAGCCGGCCUGAGAGGGCGACCGGCCACACUGGGACUGAGACACGGCCCAGACUCCUACGGGAGGCAGCAGUGGGGAAUAUUGCGCAAUGGGCGAAAGCCUGACGCAGCGACGCCGCGUGAGGGACGAAGGUCUUCGGAUUGUAAACCUCUUUCAGCAGGGACGAAGCGAAAGUGACUGUACCUGCAAAAGAAGCACCGGCUAACUACGUGCCAGCAGCCGCGGUAAUACGUAGGGUGCAAGCGUUGUCCGGAUUUAUUGGGCGUAAAGAGCUCGUAGGCGGUUUGUCGCGUCGGAUGUGAAAACCCAAUGGCUUAACCUUGGGCCUGCAUUCGAUACGGGCAAACUAGAGUGUGGUAGGGGAAACUGGAACUCCUGGUGUAGCGGUGGAAUGCGCAGAUAUCAGGAAGAACACCGAUGGCGAAGGCAGGUUUCUGGGCCAUAACUGACGCUGAGGAGCGAAAGCGUGGGGAGCGAACAGGAUUAGAUACCCUGGUAGUCCACGCCGUAAACGGUGGGCGCUAGGUGUGGGGAUUGUUUCCACGAUCUCCGUGCCGUAGCUAACGCAUUAAGCGCCCCGCCUGGGGAGUACGGCCGCAAGGCUAAAACUCAAAGGAAUUGACGG